CUAGCGUUGUUCGGAAUCACUGGGCGUAAAGCGCACGUAGGCGGAUUUUUAAGUCAGGGGUGAAAUCCCGAGGCUCAACCUCGGAACUGCCUUUGAUACUGGAGAUCUUGAGUCCGGAAGAGGUAAGUGGAACUGCGAGUGUAGAGGUGAAAUUCGUAGAUAUUCGCAAGAACACCAGUGGCGAAGGCGGCUUACUGGUCCGGAACUGACGCUGAGGUGCGAAAGCGUGGGGAGCAAACAGG
rnacentral:rRNA from 1 species